rnacentral:rRNA from 1 species
AACGAACGCUGGCGGCAUGCCUAACACAUGCAAGUCGAACGAGACCUUCGGGUCUAUAGGCGCACGGGGGCGGAACGCGGGGGAACCUGCCCUUGGGUUUCGAAUAACUCCCCGAAAGGGGUGCUAAUACAGGAGAAUGUCUUGCGGCCAAUGAUUUUUCGCCUGUGGAUGGGCGCGCGUUGGAUUAGCUCGUUGGUAGGGUAAACGCCUACCAAGGCGACGAUCCAGAGCUGGUCUGCGAGGACGAUCAGCCACACUGGGCCGGUGACACGGCCCGGACUACUGCGGGUUGCAGCAGGGGGGAAAUUCGGACACUGGGCCGACGCGUGAUCCAGCAAGGCCGCGUGAGUGAUGAACGCCUUAGGGUUGGAAAGCUCUUUUACCCGGGAUGAUAUUGCCGGUACCGGGAGAAUAGGCCCGGGUUACUACCGU